AAGACCCCGUGAACCUUUACUAUAGCUUGACACUGAACAUUGAGCCUUGAUGUGUAGGAUAGGUGGGAGGCUUUGAAGUGUGGACGCCAGUCUGCAUGGAGCCGACCUUGAAAUACCACCCUUUAAUGUUUGAUGUUCUAACGUGGACCCGUAAUCCGGGUUGCGGACAGUGUCUGGUGGGUAGUUUGACUGGGGCGGUCUCCUCCUAAAGAGUAACGGAGGAGCACGAAGGUUGGCUAAUCCUGGUCGGACAUCAGGAGGUUAGUGCAAUGGCAUAAGCCAGCUUGACUGCGAGCGUGACGGCGCGAGCAGGUGCGAAAGCAGGUCAUAGUGAUCCGGUGGUUCUGAAUGGAAGGGCCAUCGCUCAACGGAUAAAAGGUACUCCGGGGAUAACAGGCUGAUACCGCCCAAGAGUUCAUAUCGACGGCGGUGUUUGGCACCUCGAUGUCGGCUCAUCACAUCCUGGGGCUGAAGUAGGUCCCAAGGGUAUGGCUGUUCGCCAUUUAAAGUGGUACGCGAGCUGGGUUUAGAACGUCGUGAGACAGUUCGGUCCCUAUCUGCCGUGGGCGCUGGAGAACUGAGGGGGGCUGCUCCUAGUACGAGAGGACCGGAGUGGACGCAUCACUGGUGUUCGGGUUGUCAUGCCAAUGGCACUGCCCGGUAGCUAAAUGCGGAAGAGAUAAGUGCUGAAAGCAUCUAAGCACGAAACUUGCCCCGAGAUGA
rnacentral:rRNA from 1 species